AAACGUGCCAGCUCAGCAUCUCAGGCAAACCCCUUCCCUACCUACCUCAGUUCCCCAGGUGCACCUAUACAAUAGGUUUGAGUCUCUGGAACUUUAAGGAGAGGUGAGUGAGGAUGUAGUGGGAGGUCCAUCCCCAAGGUUGUUUAAGGUGAGGCAGUCAACUCUGUGCCUCAAGACUGCCUCCACAAAGGAGGAAAGAAGGAUGACUGUCAUAGGCAACUCCCUUCUGACAGGAACAGAGGGCUCUAUAUGUUGGCCUGACCCUACCUGUAGAGAAGUGACAGUGAUGAAGUUGCUGAGAGAAGCUUGAGGACUAUCAAAAGGGACUUCAAGGGCACUGGAGCAGUUAGCUGAUGGACCAUGAGUACAGGCUGGAAAACCUAUCUCUCCACUGAAGUCAGCUAGACUUCAACCACUGAUCCUGUAUGAGCUGACUGAAGAAAUAAUAAAUCCUUGGAUGGUAACAGUAAUUGGAGAAGUCUGAUAGCUUAAGAACUAGGAGAUGCUGAAAUACUACCUUAAUCUACAGCUUCAAGGAAAACUUGAUGGGCUGACCAAUAUGACGUAAAAGUCUGGAUGAAGAAAAUAUCCAGAAUGAAAGACAAAAUGCAGAGGUUCUAUGUGAGGAAGGGUGCAGGGUCCUGGAAGGAACACCAAAAAAGAUGAACAUCUGUGAAAAAUCCAGCCAAAAUUUGUCAUGAAGACAUAUGAAAGGGGCCAGCAUAAAAUCUACCAGUGCAAAAUUGAUCUGAAAAAAAUGUUUUGAACAAAUCUAAUUUGUCAAUCUGAGUUCAUACUUGAUCAGUG
ensembl:lncRNA